rnacentral:tRNA from 1 species
CGGAGCGUAGCGCAGCCCGGUAGCGCACUUCUCUGGGGGGGAAGGGGUCGCAGGUUCGAAUCCUGUCGCUCCGACCA